AUUGAACGCUGGCGGAAUGCUUUACACAUGCAAGUCGAGCGGCAGCGCGGGGGCAACCCUGGCGGCGAGCGGCGAACGGGUGAGUAAUGUAUCGGAACGUACCCAGUCGUGGGGGAUAACUAUCCGAAAGGAUAGCUAAUACCGCAUACGACCUGAGGGUGAAAGCGGGGGACCGUAAGGCCUCGCGCGAUUGGAGCGGCCCCGAUAUCGGAUUAGCUAGUUGGUGAGGUAAAGGCUCACCAAGGCGACGAUCCGUAGCUGGUCUGAGAGGACGACCAGCCACACUGGAACUGAGACACGGUCCAGACUCCUACGGGAGGCAGCAGUGGGGAAUUUUGGACAAUGGGGGGCAACCCUGAUCCAGCCAUUCCGCGUGAGUGAAGAAGGCCUUCGGGUCGUAAAGCUCUUUCAGCAGGAACGAAACGGCUCUCUCUAACAUAGGGAGUUAAUAGACGGUACCUGAAGAAGAAGCACCGGCUAACUACGUAGCCAGCAGCC
rnacentral:rRNA from 1 species